rnacentral:rRNA from 1 species
UGAGGAAUAUUGGUCAAUGGGCGAGAGCCUGAACCAGCCAAGUCGCGUGAGGGAAGACGGUCCUAUGGAUUGUAAACCUCUUUUGCCCGGGGAGCAAAGAGCGGCACGUGUGCCGCGCCGAGAGUACCCGGAGAAAAAGCAUCGGCUAACUCCGUGCCAGCAGCCGCGGUAAUACGGAGGAUGCGAGCGUUAUCCGGAUUUAUUGGGUUUAAAGGGUGCGCAGGCGGCGCGUUAAGUCAGCGGUAAAAUUUCGGGGCUUAACCCCGACGAGCCGUUGAAACUGGCGUGCUAGAGUGGGCGAGAAGUAUGCGGAAUGCGUGGUGUAGCGGUGAAAUGCAUAGAUAUCACGCAGAACUCCGAUUGCGAAGGCAGCAUACCGGCGCCCAACUGACGCUCAUGCACGAAAGCGUGGGUAUCGAACAGGAUUAGAUACC